UACGUAGGGUGCGAGCGUUGUCCGGAAUUAUUGGGCGUAAAGGGCUCGUAGGCGGUUUGUCGCGUCGGGAGUGAAAACUCAGGGCUUAACCCUGAGACCUGCCUUCGAAGGCAUCACGGAGGGACAGUACGUGAGGUAUGCAGGGGAGAAUGGAAUUCCUGGUGUAGCGGUGAAAUGCGCAGAUAUCAGGAGGAACACCGAUGGCGAAGGCAGGUCUCUGGGCCACUACUGACGCUGAGAAGCGAAAGCAUGGGGAGCGAACAGG
rnacentral:rRNA from 1 species